rnacentral:rRNA from 1 species
AGAGUUUGAUUAUGGCUCAGAAUGAACGUUGGCGGCGUGGAUUAGGCAUGCAAGUCGAGCGGCAAGGUUUUUUCGCAAGAUAGAAACCCUAGAGCGGCGGAAGGGAUAGGACAAUAUAGAUACGUGCCUCUUAGCUCAGGAUAGCGUCUGGAAACGGGCGAUAAUACUGAAUGAGGUCUUAGGACCAAAGGUGAGAUUCCGCUAGGAGAUCGGUCUAUAGCCUAUUAGUUAGUUGGUAGGGUAACGGCCUACCAAGACGAUGAUGGGUACGGGGCGUGAGAGCGCGACCCCGAUCACUGGGACUGAGACACUGCCCAGACGCCUACGGGCGGCUGCAGUCGAGAAUCUUCGGCAAUGGACGGAAGUCUGACCGAGCGACGCCGCCGUGUAUGACGAAGGCCUUCGGGUUGUAAAGUACUGUCGAUUGGGCGGAAGUUAGAGGGGGCCAUCUCUCUCUUUUGACCUAUCAUUUGAGGAAGGACGGGCUAAGUUCGUGCCAGCAGCCGC